rnacentral:rRNA from 1 species
GACGGACGCUGGCGGCGUGCUUAACACAUGCAAGUCGAACGGAAAGGCCUGCUUUCCCUUGUGGAUUGCGGGUACUCGAGUGGCGAACGGGUGAGUAACACGUGAGUGAUCUGCCCCCAACUUGGGUAUAAGCCUGGGAAACUGGGUCUAAUUCCCGAUAGGACUGCAGGGUGGUGCCUGUGGUGGAAAACGAUUUUCUAGUGGUUGGGGAUGAGCCCGCGGCCUAUCAGCUUGUUGGGGGGGUAAUGGCCUACCAAGGCGGCGACGGGUAGCCGGCCUGAGAGGGUGGACGGCGACAUUGGGACUGAGAUACGGCCCAGACGCCUACGGGAGGCAGCAGUGGGGAAUAUUGCACAAUGGGCGGAAGCCUGAUGCAGCGACGCCGCGUGGGGGAUGACGGCCUUCGGGUUGUAAACUCCUUUCGACCGCGAGGAAGCCACCUGGUUGGAAGGGUGGUGACGGUAGUGGUAGAAGAAGCCCCGGCUAACUACGUG